rnacentral:tRNA from 1 species
AGCUUAAUGGUAAAGCACCCAACCGGCAAUUGGAGGAUCUGGGUUCAAAUCCCAG